rnacentral:rRNA from 1 species
AUUGAACGCUGGCGGCAGGCUUAACACAUGCAAGUCGAGCGGGGGAAGGUAGCUUGCUACCGGACCUAGCGGCGGACGGGUGAGUAAUGCUUAGGAAUCUGCCUAUUAGUGGGGGACAACAUCUCGAAAGGGAUGCUAAUACCGCAUACGUCCAACGGGAGAAAGCAGGGGAUCUUCGGACCUUGCGCUAAUAGAUGAGCCUAAGUCGGAUUAGCUAGUUGGUGGGGUAAAGGCCUACCAAGGCGACGAUCUGUAGCGGGUCUGAGAGGAUGAUCCGCCACACUGGGACUGAGACACGGCCCAGACCCCUACGGGAGGCAGCAGUGGGGAAUAUUGGACAAUGGGGGGAACCCUGAUCCAGCCAUGCCGCGUGUGUGAAGAAGGCCUUAUGGUUGUAAAGCACUUUAAGCGAGGAGGAGGCUACUCUAGUUAAUACCUAGGGAUAGUGGACGUUACUCGCAGAAUAAGCACCGGCUAACUCUGUGCCAGCCGCCGCGUAA